rnacentral:rRNA from 1 species
CCUACGGGUGGUAGCAGUGAGGAAUAUUGGGCAAUGGCCGGAACGCUGACCCAGCAAUGCCGCGUGAAUGGUAAAGGUCUUCGGAUGGUAAAGUUCUUUUGUGCGGGAGCAAAAAACGCCACGCGUGGCGAUCCGAGAGUACCCGAAGAAAAAGCAUCGGCUAACUCCGUGCCAGCAGCCGCGGUAAUACGGGGGAUGCGAGCGUUAUCCGGAUUUAUUGGGUUUAAAGGGUGCGCAGGCGGAAGAUGAAGUCAGCGGUAAAAUUGAGAGGCUCAACGUCUUAGAGCCGUUGAAACUGGUUUUCUUGAGUGAGUGAGAAGUAUGCGGAAUGCGUGGUGUAGCGGUGAAAUGCAUAGAUAUCACGCAGAACGCAGAUUGCGAAGGCAGCAUACCGGCGCUCAACUGACGCUCAUGCACGAAAGUGUGGGUAUCGAACAGGAUUAGAUACCCUUGUAGUC